AGUGAUUUGGUCAAGUCGGGCCA
rnacentral:siRNA from 1 species